rnacentral:lncRNA from 1 species
UGGAAGAAUAUAUUUACAUUGAAAUGACUUCCAAAAGAAUGCUUAAAAAUCAAUAAUAAGAAAAAAACAAGAAAAAAAUGGACAAAGACUUACAUUUUUGAUAGAUGUAUAAAUUGAUACAAUCAUUUUGGAGAUAAUUUUAGCAAUGCCUAGUAAAGUUGGAGGAUGCAUACUUUACGACCCAGAAAUUCCACUUCAAGGAAUGGACUUAAAGAAAUUUGUGCAUAUUCACAAGGAGAUAUGCACAAGAUUGGUCAGUAAAGCACCCUUUGAAUGUUUACAACAAAAGUAGUCUACCUGGAGUGGAUCAACUGAGAUUUAUGAUGAAGCUCAGUGUAGAAGCUAACAUGAAUCAGCCAGGUCUACAUGUAUCAUUAUGAUAAAUAUCAAAAUAUUAAUAUUUGGUGAAAAAGGCGAAUUGCAUAAAUAUAGGUAUAGUAAACAAAAUAGGAUUUGAAUGAUAGCAUGAAAAAUCAGGAUAUUUAGAGUUAAGAGGAAAGGGAAAAGAUGGGAGGAGGAGUGGACUUUAGCUGAACGUUUUAUGUCUUUAAAAGUGAUGGCUCUGAAGCAAAACUGACAAGUUUAACAUCUGAAAUUUCUGUGGUCUGUACGUUGGCAUCUCUUAUUCCGAGUAUUCAAAUUGUCCAUGUGGCAACUGACAGCAUUACCGAAUCCCCACAAGAUGAAGGCUGAACAUCUUCUGUUUC